CCUGUAUCCAGUCAGGAGCUUUCACAGGUGCUGCAUGGCUGUCGUCAGCUCGUGCCGUGAGGUGUUGGGUUAAGUCCCGCAACGAGCGCAACCCUCGUGCUAUGUUGAUUUCUCAUAGCAGACUGCCUUGUACAGCAAGGAGGAAGGUGGGGAUGACGUCAAGUCAGCAUGGCCUUUAUGCCCUGGGCUACACACACGCUACAAUGGGUGGGAACAGAGGGUUGCCACGAAGCAAUUCGGAGCGAAUCCCUUAAAACCAUCCUCAGUUCGGAUUGCAGGCUGCAAUCGCCUGCAUGAAGCCGGAGCUGCUAGUAACCGCAGGUCAGCUAUACUGCGGUGAAUACGUUCUCGGGCCUU
rnacentral:rRNA from 1 species